rfam:Dipodomys ordii contig_33577, whole genome shotgun sequence.
GGGAAUGUGGCUUAGUGGUAGAGUGCUUGCCUAGUAGGCAUGAAGCCCUGGGUUCGAUUCCUCCAUACCAU